AUUGAACGCUGGCGGCAGGCCUAACACAUGCAAGUCGAACGAGUGGCGGACGGGUGAGUAAUGUCUGGGAAACUGCCCGGUGGAGAGGGAUAACUACUGGAAGCGGUAGCUAAUACCGCAUAGCAUCGGAUGUGCCGGGAUGGGAUUAGCUAGUGGGUGGGGUAAUGGCUCACCUAGGCGACGAUCCCUAGCUUGUGUGAGAGGAUGACCAGCCACACUGGAACUGAGACACGGUCCAGACUCCUACGGGAGGCAGCAGUGGGUAAUAUUGCACAAUGGGCGAAAGCCUGAUACAGCCAUGCCGCGUGUAUGAAGAAGGCCUUCGGGUUGUAAAGUACUUUCAGCGAGGAGGCGUUACUCGCAGAAGAAGCACCGGCUAACUCCGUGCCAGCAGCCGCGGUAAUAC
rnacentral:rRNA from 1 species